rnacentral:lncRNA from 1 species
CCUUCCUGCUUCUUAAACGUUAAAAGGCAAGACACUCUACUCUGGUUGUAUUUCUAAACUUCCAUGCAGUAAGCAGAGAGCUGGGCAGAGUUCUACAUACCUCGGUGCUGACUCAGAAAGGAAGGGUUCCACAUUCCUUAAUUAGCAGUGUCAGAGGCAUCCACUUCCGCCAGUGCAGUUCCCAUUUCGCCCAACACGCAGCAUGCUCAACACCCCAGAGGUCCACAAACAGGACAACGACGUCUGAUCUUCAAGACUUCAGACAUACCCCGAGUAUUUGGAGAUCACAGUUUUAGGGAUGGCCUCUGAAAAAGAAGAAAAUAUUCAAUCUGUUUCUUCAUAUGGAGCAAACCAACUUCUGUGUCCUGCCUGUUCCUUGGUCAUUUACUUUGUUUAUUUUUUACGACAGGAUCUCAGGUAUCCCCGCUUGACCUGGAACUCACUCUGGAGCCAGAGGAUGGCUCAGAGCUUCUGAGUUUCCAGCCUUCACUGCUUGAGGAGUGGGCUUACUGGUGUGGACCAUGCUUGAUUUAUGGGGUGCUGGGAUGAAACCCAGGUCCUCAUGAAUGCUCUACACAUACUCUACCAAAUGAGCCGAAUCUCCAACCCCUCCUUGGUCUUCUUUGAAAGUGAGGCUUGACAUGAGGCAGAACAUUUGUAUUGGUUAGUCUUGGUUGGGAUUGAAAAAUGCCUGGAAGAUUAGUACAACACACCUCUGGGUGUGUGGCAGUGCGUCUGAGGCAGCUUUAAUCCACAGGCAGAUUCAUCUAUAGAGGUUCCUGGGAGGCAGUGGCACCCCUCCCUGCUGGAGCUAACACUGGUCCCUUCCUGUCUCCAUGGUGGGAAGUCCUCAGCUCCACCCCUGACCCCACCCACCCCACCCCACCCAUGGCCUAGGAAACUGCUAGAAC